CAUAAGUAACUUGCCCAAGGUAAGGAAUAACGUCGAGAAAUCGGCGCUAAUACCUCAUAAUGCAGCGGAUCCGCAUGGAUAUGUUGUUAAAGGUUUACCGCCUUGGGAUAGGCUUGCGUCUGAUUAGUUAGUUGGUGUGGUAACGGCACACCAAGGCUACGAUCAGUAACUGGUCUGAGAGGAUGAUCAGUCACACUGGAACUGAGACACGGUCCAGACUCCUACGGGAGGCAGCAGUGAGGAAUAUUGGGCAAUGCUCGAAAGAGUGACCCAGCAACGCCGCGUGGAGGAUGAAGGUAUUCUAUAUCGUAAACUCCUGUGAGAGCAGACGAAAGACAGAUUAUUAAUCUGGAUGACUGUAUGCUCAGAGGAAGCCCCGGCUAACUACGUG
rnacentral:rRNA from 1 species